AUUGAACGCUGGCGGGAGGCCUAACACAUGCAAGUCGAACGAGUGGCGGACGGGUGAGUAAUAUCUGGGAAACUGCCUGGUGGCGGGGGAUAACUACUGGAAACGGUAGCUAAUACCGCAUACCAUUGGCGCUGCCGAGAUGGGAUUAGCUAGUUGGUGGGGUAAAGGCUCACCUAGGCGACGAUCCCUAGCUGGUCUGAGAGGAUGACCAGCCACACUGGAACUGAGACACGGUCCAGACUCCUACGGGAGGCAGCAGUGGGGAAUAUUGCACAAUGGGCGAAAGCCUGAUGCAGCCAUGCCGCGUGUAUGAAGAAGGCCUUCGGGUUGUAAAGUACUUUCAGCGGGGAGGCGUUACCCGCAGAAGAAGCACCGGCUAACUCCGUGCCAGCCGCCGCGGUAAUAC
rnacentral:rRNA from 1 species